rnacentral:tmRNA from 1 species
GGGGUUGCUCUGGUUUCGACGAGGGCUAGACGCUUGGUAGUGCAUGUCGAGCUGAAUGUGCUCGUUAAACAAAUUCAAAAAACUUAACUGCAAACGACGAACGUUUCGCACUCGCAGCUUAAUUGCUGAGAGGCUUGCAACAGCUCUCCGGUGGGCUGGGCAAAGGAGCUUGGGGCAACCCAAUCACUUCUCGGCUGCAAGCUUAUUCACACCGGAUGGCUUUGCAUGGGGUGACUUCAUGCAAAGCGAGAAAAUAGGUCGCUGGUCUGUCUUGUAGCGUGCCACUGCGCGACAAGAUGGGCGAGACACAAAUCAGACGGCUACACAUGUAGAUCGAUCAGGAAAAAGGUUUUCGGACGCGGGUUCAAUUCCCGCCAACUCCACCA